GCCGGUGCUUCACAUAGAUCCGGCGCAUCCGGCGGAGCCGGGGAACCGGGCGGCCGCGGCGUAUUUGCAAGACGCUGCCGCCGUUUACAUA
rnacentral:sRNA from 1 species